rnacentral:rRNA from 1 species
GACAGAGGGUGCAAACGUUGCUCGGAAUCACUGGGCGUAAAGGGCGUGUAGGCGGGUAGAUAAGUCGGGCGUGAAAUCCCUAGGCUCAACCUAGGAACUGCACUCGAAACUGUUUAUCUUGAGUGCCGGAGAGGAAAGCGGAAUUCCUGGUGUAGAGGUGAAAUUCGUAGAUAUCAGGAGGAACACCAGUGGCGAAGGCGGCUUCUGGA